GUUGGGAUAGCGCCGUGGGUAGAGCAUGGGACUCUUAAAUUUCGAGUUGUGGGUUCGAGCCCCACGUUGGGCA